rnacentral:tRNA from 1 species
GACAGGGUGGUGUCGUGGUCUGAGUGCUGGACUAGGACUCUGGAGACCAGGGUUCAAAUCCCCACUCAGCCA